UCAUAAGGAAGCCUGAUUGAA
rnacentral:piRNA from 1 species